rnacentral:rRNA from 1 species
UACGUAGGGUGCGAGCGUUAAUCGGAAUUACUGGGCGUAAAGCGUGCGCAGGCGGUUUUGUAAGCCAGGUGUGAAAUCCCCGGGCUCAACCUGGGAAUGGCAUUUGGGACUGCAAGGCUGGAGUGCGGCAGAGGAGACUGGAAUUCCUGGUGUAGCAGUGAAAUGCGUAGAUAUCGGAAGGAACACCAGUGGCGAAAGCGGCUUCCUGGUCCAGCACCGACGUUCAGGCACGAAAGCGUGGGGAGCAAACAGG